rnacentral:misc_RNA from 1 species
AAAGUCGUAACAAGGUAACCGUAGGUGAACCUGCGGUUGGAUCAUUAACAAUUUUAACAGGGGCUUGUCUUCGGAUGAGCUCCUGUGAAAAAUCAAUCACCUUUUGUGCACUGUAUGUCUCUGGCGGCCGGGGCAACGUAACCUAUUUUGCAAAAAUGGGCUGCAUUGCUCUGUCAGCUUGGUUCACUUGUGGACCAGGCCGUGGACAAACCGCCAACCAUUUUGUUUAACUCCCUGUUUUAAUCUACUGUCUUACAAUUUACCUUGUAUUAAAAAUACAAUAAAACUUUUGGCAACGGAUCUCUUGGCUCUC